rnacentral:lncRNA from 1 species
CGACUCUUCGCGUCGCUAGCAACUUCUACUGUGUUGGCAACCUUCUCUCUGGUAGGUACCUCUCUUUUUUUAGCUAGGGUUUCGAGUCAUUUCUUGGUCCCGGUGUUCAUGGUAGAUGGGCGGUGCCGUGGUUGAGGGAGGGGGUCGAGGGUCGCGGGGCACCGGUCACCGGAGAUGGCGGCGAGUGCCAUGCUGACUGCCGAGCGUGAGCAAUGAAGAGUUGAGUCUCUGGGCCGCUGGCCACCGAGCGAGCCGCAUGGUUGUUUCUUCUCUUUUAAGUAGACCAUAUUUUGGAUGCCCCGUGAACACUGAAGACCGAUAGUUGCUCCUGAGUACUGACGAUUGUACUGAAUAUAAACAUGAUCACAAAUCCAAUAGCUACCAUCUAACCAGAGAUAAACUUGUUUAUAUCUAGUGGCUCUACUUCGUUGUUCUGCUGCUACAUCAAUCUACAUCAAUCUCUUGAUGUGAUUAAUUGAAGAAUCGUUUAUAAGAUGGCAUGUAUGGCUACCUGUCUUCGUUGGCAAAUAUUGUUUUUGUUUUGUGUUCAGAUGUUUUUUAUUAUGUUUUCCACUCUUCUAUUAAUACAUAGAUCCAUAGUUAACCUUUCAACUUAUCUUUUAAAAAUGCUUGACUAUGAUUGUUAGAUACAUGAUCCACUAUCGCAGGUGGUGUCAUUUUUCCUUGUUCUGGCUAAUAGCUAAAAGGUUAUACAAAAGAAUAAAUUAUUUUUAGAACAUGAACUUCAACAUCAUGCUUCCUGUGAAGAUUGUGUCAUAAGUUGUACCUUUGUGAUCUGUAGCCUAAUUUUAGGCUUUUUUAGGUUGAAGACUGUAAUGUGAAAUCUACAAGUGAACACUUAUAUUAUACUUGCAGAGCACUGAUGCAGUGACAGUAGCUCGACUUGCUUUGCUGAUUGUUGACAUGUAGCUAAACCAAAACAGCUUCCUGAGAAUCUGCAAACAAGCUAGCUAAAAACUUGUACCUGAAAACUUAAAAUUGGUAUCUCUAUAUCUAAUAGUGCAGACAAAUAGGUACAACAGUGUCAAAUAGUGUAGGCACCUGAAAACUGGUAUCUCUGUAUCUAAAGCUUCACUUUUGUCCAGUAGCUAGCUUUUUCUAAUUGUAGUUCAUUUAAUAUGGUAGCACAUUAUUCUGCACUUUUAAUUUGAUAACAGUUAGCACCAUUUGAAUUAUUUUGGUUUGCUUUCUGCAUAAAUUUCAAAUUUUUAUCUGUUGAUUUCUGCUUUUGAUUCCUUAUUUAAACUUUAUAGACAGGGAAUAUUGGUCAUAUGGAGGCAGAGCCUUGCACACCAGUAUGAGCUAUAUAUAUGUUGCAUUUCUCCAUGUUUGGGCUCAUCAUGUAAUAGAACCUGAAGGAAGGUUGUUGCAAGACUUGUAUGGCAUGCUUAAAUUUUUAAACAAAAUAUAGCUCACACAGAGACAUUACAUGCUUAAUUUUUU